rnacentral:sRNA from 1 species
UCCAACCCAGGCCGAGGACCUCGAGAGAAAUGCCUUCUUGUCUGUAUUGUGCUUCCCGCCUACAGGUUUGGCAGCCGUCUGGCAAGCUCGUAACGCCAACUGCGCGGUUAGAACCGGUAAUGCCUCAGAUGCCAGCUACUACAACAAGUCUGCUCUGAGACUCAUGACCUUCAGCGUGUUCCUGGCCUUGUGUAACCCAAUCCUACUGGCUGUGUUACGUCAGCAGUUUAAAAGUGGAUAGCUCUGUCCCUCUCACAGGGGGGAGGCACAUAAGGAUAGGGGGAGAGGGCGUCUCUCAAAAUACAUACUUUUGUUAUAUAUACAUACUCUUAUCUAUGCCAUAUCUAUUUCUAUUGUCAGGAAACAAAAAGAUAAGACGUUAACUAACAAACUGCAGAGCUACUCAUCUUUGAAUAUAGACACCUGUAUACCUCAUUGAGAGGUUUCCUUAUGUAGGAGCUCAUUUACUUGAAUUAUGUUGAUUGCAAUAUAAUCUACAUUGUUUUAAUGUUUUAGGCUACAAUAACACCAUCGAUAUUAUUAUUCUAUAUUGCUAUUUGUUAAAAGGACUGGAUUUCAUACACUAUAGAUAUUAUUUGUAAUAGGUAUGGCUUUUUAACAGUCAGUAAGUACGCUUGUGGGACAACAGACACACACACACUAGUAACUAUUCAAAGUUUUUCAGACUUAAAACGUUUAUGGUUAUUUAAUAAAAUCUAAUAGUAAAAAAUAAAUAAAAAAUUGACCUCACAUGACCUAGAUCUAUAAACAAACAAGAAAGUUUUAGAUUUUAAAAAUACAACAUAUUUUUAUUAUCUUUCGAAUAAUGUUCCUUUUUUUUUAAGUGAUCAAAUACUUUGAGUAUAUUUCACAUCCUGCAUAUCUAUUAUAAAUAAAUGAGCUAUGGUUUUAUUAUGUUGAUAUAAUAUACGUUUUAGUGUUUACAUAACAUGUAAUGAAUAUUAUUUAGGUUUAGGUCUGUAUAAAUGAAGUGGGUCUGAAUGAGAUAAAUGGCUUCAAUGUAUGAAAUAACUUUAUGACUUUAGAAAAUGCUAUUUGUAUAAAUAAACUUUCAUUUUUAAGGGGAAAUAA